AAUUUAAGCAAUGGGCGAAAGCUGACGGAGCAAUACCGCGUGAGGGAAGAUUGCCUAUGGGUUCUAAACCUCUUUUUUCAGGGAGGAUUCAAUGACGUGUACCUGAAGAAUAAGCAUCGGCUAACUCCGUGCCAGCAGCCGCGGUAAGACGGAGGAUGCAAGUGUUAWAHGGAAUCACUGGGCGUAAAGCGUCUGUAGGUGGUUUAAUAAGUCAACUSUUAAAUCUUGAGGCUCAACUUCAAAAUGGCAGUCGAAACUAUUAGACUAGAGUAWAGUAGANNUAAAGGGAAUUUCCAGUGGACCCCU
rnacentral:rRNA from 1 species